rnacentral:rRNA from 1 species
AUUGAACGCUGGCGGCAUGCCUAACACAUGCAAGUCGAACGGCAGCGCGGGAAAGCUUGCUUUCCUGGCGGCGAGUGGCGGACGGGUGAGUAAUACUUAGGAAUCUGCCCACUAGUGGGGGAUAGCCCGGGGAAACUCGGAUUAAUACCGCAUAAGCCCUACGGGGGGAAGCUGGGACCCAGCACCAUAGCCUUUUGGCAACCGAUCAAGGCGAGAAGAAGCUAUGGUGCNGGGCCUGGCGCUAGUGGAUGAGCCUAAGUCCUAUCAGCUAGUUGGUGGGGUAAAAGCCUACCAAGGCGACGACGGGUAGCUGGUCUGAGAGGAUGAUCAGCCACACUGGGACUGAGA